rnacentral:rRNA from 1 species
GAUGAACGCUAGCGAUAGGCCUAACACAUGCAAGUCGGGGGGCAGCAUAGAGUAGCAAUACUUUGAUGGCGACCGGCGCACGGGUGAGUAACACGUAUGCAACCUACCUACAUCAGGGGAAUAACCCGGAGAAAUUCGGACUAAUACCGCAUAAUACAGGGAUGCCGCAUGGCAAUAUUUGUUAAAGAUUCAUCGGAUGUAGAUGGGCAUGCGUUCCAUUAGCUAGUUGGUGAGGCAACGGCUCACCAAGGCAACGAUGGAUAGGGGAACUGAGAGGUGUGUCCCCCACACUGGAACUGAGACACGGACCAGACUCCUACGGGAGGCAGCAGUGAGGAAUAUUGGUCAAUGGACGAGAGUCUGAACCAGCCAAAUCGCGUGAAGGAAGACUGCCCUACGGGUUGUAAACUUCUUUUGUACAGGAAUAAAAGAAUCUACGUGUAGAUUAUUGCAUGUACUGUACGAAUAAGCAUCGGCUAACUCCGUGCCAGCAGCCGCAGUAA